UGCUAACGUAUCAGAAACAGACUCUACCCUCAAGGAACUAAUUAUACUCCUGCAGAAAUAAAUAUGUGAUAAAAAUUAUGCACUAUGAAAUAGUAGAAUAAUUAAGUUCUACCCACCCAAAUCUUGGAAGUACCAAUGCAUUUGUACAAAAAACAAUUGUUGUGAGUUUAGGAAAUGCAACAUCUGCCCCUUGUUCUAGGGCAAAGUUUUAAUUCGAAGUCCCUACACAUUGUCCUUCUUAACAAAAGAGAAAAGCUCAUCUGACCUAAUUAGUCUUAUUUUCCAAUCAAUAGGAAAUUUCUCAGCUUAACUGUAAGAUUAGCUUUAAUUGCACUUAACCUUUAUGCCAAAGAGUUUCCCAAGUCUUAACUGAUAUUUACAAAAGCUAAUUCACACUGGCUCUUUCCUGUCAGUAUAUUAACCACAGAACAAAGGGGCUCUGUGAAGCAGUCCUAGGAAAAGACUGAGUGGGUAUCUUUUUCCAAUUGCUCAAAACUGAGGCUCCUAUUUUCUGGGGAACAAGGAGAUCAAAGGUUUAGGAAUCAGAAAUCGACAAUACAGAGAUGUCCAAACAUGAGCUACUGAAGAUAAGCAGGAUUCUGUAUUCCUUGGAGCCUCCAUUAUAUUGAUAGUAAUUUUUUAAAGAUCAUUAGACCUCUCAGAUGUGAAGACAAAUAUGGGAAAUGACAGGUGUAAAACAUCAGAAUUUUGGAAGAUAGAAAACAAAGAGUGGGAAACUAAGUCAAAGCAGAGAAGCUACAACUAACUUCCUGCAGAGGAAGAAACAGAGAGGAAGACACAUUGGGUCUGUCCUGAAGAAUUUGCAAAUGGUAGACUGGAGGAACCAAGUGUCUGUGAAAGGGCAAAGAUAUUAACUCACAGGUGCAAACCAAGGUCUCCAAAGUCAGAGGCAAAAGUCUGAUGAGGAGAUGAAGGCAGAGGAAGGGAUUACUAGAAGUUGGACAGACAAGAUCUAGAAUCCAGGGUGGACAUUCUGAACAUAUCACAAGUACCC
rnacentral:lncRNA from 1 species